rnacentral:rRNA from 1 species
UACGGAGGGUGCGAGCGUUGUCCGGAUUUAUUGGGCGUAAAGGGCGCGUAGGCGGCUGUACAAGUCAAAGGUGAAAUCCCUCGGCUCAACUGAGGAACUGCCUUUGAAACUGUACGGCUUGAGGCCGGGAGGGGGUAGCGGAAUUCCCAGUGUAGCGGUGAAAUGCGUAGAUACUGGGAGGAACACCAGUGGCGAAGGCGGCUACCUGGACCGGUUCUGACGCUGAGACACGAAAGCCAGGGGAGCGAACGGG